GUUUGGACUCAUUUUAAUAGGUUAAUCUGAUCGAUUCUAAUAGAUCAAUUUGGUGCUUAAGGUAAGUAUUUAGAUGGUGGUUGUUUAAUUGGUUCCAUUAUCUAAUCUGAUCAAUUUUAAUUGGUAUUUUAGAAGAGCAAUGGAGGGACCGCACUCAUCUUAACUUAUCAGGUCAUCUUGGGAGAUUCAGUUUUGUGCUAGGUUAUUUAUUGACUCGAGUGCACCAAUGCCUACUAGGUUGAUUCGACAUGUUGAUGUACUGACCUAAAUUUGAUCAAUCGGAUGUCAGAUCUAUUGAUUUAGAAGAGAUCUAUACCUAAAUCUACUCAUUAAAUAUUAAGUCCAGAGGUCUUCCAUCAUUGUAAAGAUGCGGGUGCCUUCCUAGCAUUGAUCAUUCUCGAUUGGUCACAAUGGUUUAAUUGCAUCAAGAAGGUACAAUAACUCUAUUAACAUUUUAUGUUUCAAGGUAGAGAUGAAGUUGAGCCCAAUAACUAUUAAGUGAGGAUCCUAAUGAUGACUUUACACCCACUAGUGAAUAAUGGGUUUGACUUAACUAAAAAAUAUAUCAAUAAUUGUUAGGUG
rnacentral:lncRNA from 1 species